CCUUUGUCUCCCGCUGGCCCGCGCCUCCCCGCCCCCACCUGCCUCUCAUAUUCCUGGCCACCGGGGGAGGCGCCCUGGGCCGGUGAGGGCAGAGGCUGGAGGCCGAGGCGGGGACGCCUUGAGCGCUGGACCCGGAGCCUUCAGGCGGGCGGGGUGCGAGCUGAGCUGGUCAGCAGGGGCUGGCAUGUUAGGGCUUCUUGUCCUGCAGGCUGGCUCAUGUCCACCUGCCACACACCUGGCUCUCCUCCCCAGAGGGCAGUCCCUGGCCCCGCAGGCUUUCGCUGACCCACGUCCAAGAGCUGGUAAAGGAGCUGCCACACUCUGCGGCUUUCCUUAUCACUCAAGUCCUUCUGGGACAGAGCAGGCCUCACCUGAGCUGGGCCAAACAGAGGACUUGAUGUCCCUGGCUUUGGUUCAGGAAUGGGAAUGGAUCGGAGCCCCUGGAUCCAGCUAUGCCUGAAGGUAGCCCAUCUUUGCACUUCCCAGUUAUAUGCUAAAUAAUUGAUCCCUUUUCACCUACAUCAGUUUUUUGUUUGUUUUGUGUGUGUAUGUGUGUUUGUUGUUGGUUUUUUUUUUUUGGUACCAGGCAUCGAACUCAGGUCCUUCCACUUUAAAGGCAGGCGGCAGAACCAGUGAGCUAAAUCCCCAGCCCUGUUGUUUUUUGAGACAGGAUCUUGCUAGGUAGCCCAG
rnacentral:lncRNA from 1 species